rnacentral:lncRNA from 1 species
GUCAACCUACAGAAAACAGAACGGUGAACACAACGAUGGAAAAAUUAUAUGAAACGAGAACUAAGAAGGGGCUCAUCGGAGGAGGGUUUUGGGCCGUUGUAGUCCCACCGGAUAUUUUUUACAGUUUUCAAUUCACCCGCCGUUCCUUUUACUCCGAUAUAGGCACAGUGGUGCUCAUAAUUGAAUUUCGAGCGGGUAUGAGAAUUUUUACCUUUUUUGGUCGUCAGAGGUGGCUUCAGUGCGGCGGUGGUCGACUU